rnacentral:rRNA from 1 species
GACGAACGCUGGCGGCGUGCUUAACACAUGCAAGUCGAACGAGACGAUUGAAAGCUUGCUUUCGAAAGUCGAGUGGCAAACGGGUGAGUAACGCGUAGACAACCUGCCUUUGAGAUGGGGACAACAGUUCGAAAGGACUGCUAAUACCGAAUGUUGUAUAUUUUCCACAUGGAAGAUAUAUUAAAGAUGGCCUCUAUUUAUAAGCUAUCGCUCAAAGAUGGGUCUGCGUCUGAUUAGCUGGUUGGUGGGGUAACGGCCUACCAAGGCGACGAUCAGUAGCCGGUCUGAGAGGAAGAACGGCCACAUUGGGACUGAGACACGGCCCAGACUCCUACGGGAGGCAGCAGUGGGGAAUCUUCCACAAUGGACGAAAGUCUGAUGGAGCAACGCCGCGUGAGUGAAGAAGGGUUUCGGCUCGUAAAGCUCUGUUGUCGGGGACGAAUGUGCAGUAUUUGAAUAAAGUACUGUAAUGACGGUACCUGACGAGGAAGCCACGGCUAACUACGUGCCAGCCGCCGCAGUAA